rnacentral:rRNA from 1 species
UAAUGAUGGGGGCGCUGUCUCCAGCAGAGACUCAGUGAAAUCGAAUUCGCCGUGAAGAUGCGGUGUACCCGCGGCUAGACGGAAAGACCCCGUGAACCUUUACUGCAGCUUGACAUUGAACUUUGAUCUUACUUGUGUAGGAUAGGUGGGAGGCUUUGAAGUCGCGACGCUAGUUGCGAUGGAGCCGUCCUUGAAAUACCACCCUGGUAAUAUUGAGGUUCUAACUCUGUCCCGUUAUCCGGGACGAGGACCAUGUCUGGUGGGUAGUUUGACUGGGGCGGUCUCCUCCUAAAGAGUAACGGAGGAGUACGAAGGUGCGCUCAGCGUGGUCGGAAAUCACGCGUAGAGUAUAAAGGCAAAAGCGCGCUUAACUGCGAGACCCACAAGUCGAGCAGGUACGAAAGUAGGUCUUAGUGAUCCGGUGGUUCUGUAUGGAAGGGCCAUCGCUCAACGGAUAAAAGGUACUCUGGGGAUAACAGGCUGAUACCGCCCAAGAGUUCAUAUCGACGGCGGUGUUUGGCACCUCGAUGUCGGCUCAUCUCAUCCUGGGGCUGAAGCAGGUCCCAAGGGUAUGGCUGUUCGCCAUUUAAAGAGGUACGCGAGCUGGGUUUAGAACGUCGUGAGACAGUUCGGUCCCUAUCUACCGUGGGCGUUGGAAAUUUGAGAGGAUCUGCUCCUAGUACGAGAGGACCAGAGUGGACGAACCUCUGGUGUACCGGUUGUCACGCCAGUGGCAUCGCCGGGUAGCUAUGUUCGGAAGGGAUAACCGCUGAAAGCAUCUAAGCGGGAAGCCUACCUCAAGAUAAGAUUUCCCCGAGACUUUAUGUCUCCUAAAGAGCCGUUGAAGACUACGACGUUGAUAGGUUGGAUGUGGAAGCAUAGUGAUAUGUGAAGCUGACCAAUACUAAUUGCUCGUGAGGCUUGACUAUACAACACCC